rnacentral:rRNA from 1 species
UAAGACCUUGCGCUUUUGGAGUGGCCGAUGCCUGAUUAGCUAGUUGGUGGGGUAAGAGCCUACCAAGGCGACGAUCAGUAGUUGGUCUGAGAGGACGACCAGCCACACUGGGACUGAGACACGGCCCAGACUCCUACGGGAGGCAGCAGUGGGGAAUUUUGGACAAUGGGCGAAAGCCUGAUCCAGCAAUGCCGCGUGAGUGAAGAAGGCCUUCGGGUUGUAAAGCUCUUUCAGUCGAGAAGAAAAGGUCGCGACUAAUAAUCGCGACUCAUGACGGUAUCGACAGAAGAAGCACCGGCUAACUACGUGCCAGCAGCCGCGGUAAUACGUAGGGUGCGAGCGUUAAUCGGAAUCACUGGGCGUAAAGGGUGCGCAGGCGGCUUUGUAAGUCAGAUGUGAAAUCCCCCGGGCUUAACCUGGGA